AACGAACGCUGGCGGCAUGCCUAACACAUGCAAGUCGAACGAGGCCUUCGGGUCUAGUGGCGCACGGGUGAGUAACGCGUGGGAACCUGCCCUUAGGUUCGGAAUAACUCCCCGAAAGGGGUGCUAAUACCGGAUAAUGUCUUCGGACCAAAGAUUUAUCGCCUUUGGAUGGGCCCGCGUUGGAUUAGCUAGUUGGUAGGGUAAAAGCCUACCAAGGCGACGAUCCAUAGCUGGUCUGAGAGGAUGAUCAGCCACACUGGGACUGAGACACGGCCCAGACUCCUACGGGAGGCAGCAGUGGGGAAUAUUGGACAAUGGGCGAAAGCCUGAUCCAGCAAUGCCGCGUGAGUGAUGAAGGCCUUAGGGUUGUAAAGCUCUUUUACCCGGGAUGAUAAUGACAGUACCGGGAGAAUAAGCUCCGGCUAACUCCGUG
rnacentral:rRNA from 1 species